CCUCAAUCCGCCCCCAGGGGCGGAUUAAGGCUCACUGGUGCCCUAAGCACUGACCAAUCUUGGUGCCCCCCUCCUUU